rnacentral:rRNA from 1 species
GACGAACGCUGGCGGCGUGCUUAACACAUGCAAGUCGAACGGAAAGGCCCUGCUUUUGUGGGGUGCUCGAGUGGCGAACGGGUGAGUAACACGUGAGUAACCUGCCCUUGACUUUGGGAUAACUUCAGGAAACUGGGGCUAAUACCGGAUAGGAGCUCCUGCUGCAUGGUGGGGGUUGGAAAGUUUCGGCGGUUGGGGAUGGACUCGCGGCUUAUCAGCUUGUUGGUGUGGUAGUGGCUUACCAAGGCUUUGACGGGUAGCCGGCCUGAGAGGGUGACCGGCCACAUUGGGACUGAGAUACGGCCCAGACUCCUACGGGAGGCAGCAGUGGGGAAUAUUGCACAAUGGGCGGAAGCCUGAUGCAGCAACGCCGCGUGCGGGAUUACGGCCUUCGGGUUGUAAACCGCUUUCGCCUGUGACGAAGCGUGAGUGACGGUAAUGGGUAAAGAAGCACCGGCUAACUACGUG